rnacentral:rRNA from 1 species
CACGUAGGGGGCGAGCGUUGUCCGGAUUCAUUGGGCGUAAAGAGCUCGUAGGCGGCUCAGUAAGUCGGGUGUGAAACCCUCAGGCUCAACCUGGGGACGCCACUCGAUACUGCUGUGGCUAGAGUCCAGUAGAGGAGUGUGGAAUUCCCGGUGUAGCGGUGAAGUGCGCAGAUAUCGGGAAGAACACCCGUGGCGAAGGCGGCUCUCUGGGACGGUACUGACGCUGAGACGCGAAAGCGUGGGGAGCGAACAGG